UACGAAGGGUGCAAGCGUUACUCGGAAUUACUGGGCGUAAAGCGUGCGUAGGUGGUUUGUUCAGUCUGUUGUGAAAGCCCCGGGCUCAACCUGGGAAUGGCCGUUGAAACUGGCGAACUGGAGUGUGGCAGAGGGGGGUGGAAUUCCGCGUGUAGCAGUGAAAUGCGUAGAGAUGCGGAGGAACACCGAUGGCGAAGGCAGCCCCCUGGGCUGACACUGACGCUCAGGCACGAAAGCGUGGGGAGCAAACAGG
rnacentral:rRNA from 1 species